rnacentral:lncRNA from 1 species
AGAAAAUCCUGGGAAAUUUCCUCUUGGCCCUUUUACGUGCCAUGGGCCUUUAAUCCUAGGCAAGAGGCUCUAAUAAUAGAAACUAGGAGACCUAAAAAUUGCUUGCACGAUGUAGGCGUGUUUGAUUGCUUGGUAUGGAACAGAGUGAAAUUGCUGGGCAUAUGUGUUGACACUUGAUAAGAAACACAGAUUCCCAGGUCACCUCAUAGACAGGGCUGCACUGGGCCUCCUGCCUAGGCCUGUUCGAUGAAGCACCAACAAGCCCCACAGCUUUGUUGCUUUUGCUAUGCCCACUGGGACCAGUGAGAGAAGUGCGGUCUUAUCCCUGGGAGGAGAGAAAGAGCCAGCAUCUGCAGGCGCCCACAGGAUGUCAAGGUCACAUGGAAUGAUGGUGAUCGAUAUAGACGUGAUCUCAGAGUUCACUCCCUCAUCAUACAGUGGAGGAAACGAGGCCCAGGGAGGGGCGGAACAUUUUUCCAAGUCAUACAGCAAGAACUCAGAGGCCUCUUGGUUCCUGCUCUUGCCUUGAGGUGGUUCUGCGGGGCGCUCCAGAGCCCCCAAGAAAUUCUUCUGAAAUUCAGUUCUCCACAGGACACCUGGGCUCCUCCUCUGUCCUCCCAGCCCCUCACAGAGGAGUAGUUUCCCUUCUGGCCUGCCUAAGUCUGUCUUGUCUUCUGGACUUCAGUGGCCACCAUGGACCUCCCAAGCUUUCUCUUGGGCUCUUCCAGUGCCGACCUCAGCUUGGCUGCCUCACACUCUGUCUGGUGGGCACUUACAGGAGCCAUGUCCACAGACCACCUCGCCUGGGCUGUGGAGGCCCCGUUCUGAGACCACGUGCAGUCCAAAAAAGGAAGCUAAAAGGGGUCAGAGGAAAACAUCCCCGUGUAGGGUGAGGGUGAAUCUCAGUCUCCCUGUCAACUCUCUUUAUCCUGACAUCCAGAAUUCCAGACCUUUGUGGGCACUGAUCCCUGAGACUGGGCUCUUUAAGCUCUUUCACUGAUCCCUGGGGUCCGAAACUUUCAGCUUGCACUUUGGUUUGGUAAACCACUGACUGUCCUACCAAACGCCCCCGCACCCCACAAACUCAACCUGUGCUCUUCAUGUGCUAUCUCCUGUUCGAUCCCCACACUGACCUUCUGGGUUAGGGACUUGCAUGUCCCCAUUUUAUAGAUGAGGAGCCUGAGGCCCAGAGAGGUAAGUCACCUGCCCAGUAUCACACAGCCUGAGAUUGGCAGAGCCAGAUCUCAUGGAAUGAGAGCCCUGUCUCACCUCCCUAGAGACAGAGCUUAAUUGAUAACUUUGAGUUGAUACUGAAAGGUCACAGGAAUUGCAGCAGAUAAGGUGUUCUGAGGAACUGGCUCUCUAGCACCUGUGGUAAUUAAUUCAGUAUCCCUUUUUGUGUCCCAGAGAAGCACAGUGGCUAAAGCGCACAGCACAAGCUUGGAGAUCAGAUGGACAUGGCUUCAAAUCUCGUCUCUGCUGUUUACAAAAAGUAUGACCCCAGGAGAGGGAUUUAUACCCUCUGAGCUGUAGUUUCCUCAUCCACAAUGUGGGAGCAGGAUUUUAGAGGAUACCGAGAGAUUAAAUGAGAUCUUUCUUAUAGAGUCCUUAGCAAGGGGCUUGGCACCAUGGAUGGUAAUAUCAUCAUGAUGAUGCCAGGUAUUUUCAUUGCUAUUCCUUAUUAUUCAUCAGUAUUUUUAUUCAUUGCUAUUGCUGGUUGUAUUCAUCAUUAAUAAAUAAUAGCAUUGUUUAUUAAUGUUAUUACUAAGUUCUCUGCUAUGUUCUGGGGCUCACAGAUGAAUUACACACUGUCUUUGCUCUCUGAGAGUCCCAGCCUGGAGGUGGGGAGAAGCCCCUUGGCUAGUGGGCUGAUGAUAAUGGCUAUGAUGGCACAGCAUUCUUUUCUCAGUAAGAGCAACUGACUGUCCGAGGGAGGUUAUACAGAAAAGGUGACAUUUGAGUGGGUUUAAAGGAUGACUAGGAGGUUUGGGGGCUGAAAAGAAAGGGCAGGGUGUUCCAGAUGUAGGGGGCAGUGUGUGUAAAGGAGCACAGAGGUGGGAACGAGUGUGACAUGAUUGUUUGGGGCAGGGCAAGCAUGCCAGCAUGGCUGGCGCUUGAGGCUUGCAGGCAGGGCUCACAGGGAUGGUGCUGGACAGGCUGCCCAGGGCCCUAGACAGCCAGCUUCUGGGGAGUCUUGCCUGCUGGAAAUAGGGAUCCAUGGUCAUUUGCAUGUCAGUAUGUAUGAGGACCUUUCCAGCACAGUGGAGAAUGGGGUGGCAGAGGGAUGGAGCAGUGGGGAGUAUGGCACUACAGGUCUGUGAGAAUUGAUAGGAGCUGGAAAGCUUGAGGGGGAGGGACAGGUUUGAGAAAGAUUAGGCAAGGAGAUAGAAGUGACUCUGUUUGCAUGUAUGGGCACCCAUGUGGGUGUAUGCAAGUGUGUUGGAGAUAGGCUAAGGUGGAAAGAAAGCAUGAGAUGAUGAUUUUGAACUUUCUUGAUUAAGAUGACAAAUGGGUUUCACUAGAAGCAUCUGUGGGACUUACAGACUGAACUCCCCGGUAGGCAAUGGGAAAUUGGCAGCAUUGGCCUUGCCUCCUCCAGGGUGUCCUCCUUGCAUCCCACGGGGUGUGUCAGGUCCUCCUCGGUGCCCACGGCCUGUGCCCUUGAGAGUUGCCUUCAUUCCAGCCUGGAUCCUGCUGGGUUUUAAUACCUUGUGGACUUGUCAGCCUUUCCACAAAGACUAUGAACUCCCCGAGACCAGGGGCUAUAUCUUCUUCAUUAUUCUAUCCUCAAGGUGUGGCAUCAUACCUGGCACACACAAGUGCUUGAAUCAAUGUUGCUAAAGUAACAAGAAAAUGCAAGUUUGAGUUUGGAAGUCAGAAGAGAAGUCGGGCUGGCCGUUUCGAACUGGCAUUACUCUGGGUGAGCAAGGAGAAGGCUGUGGCCUCAGAGAAUCAGCCCCCGAAUUGCUAAGCCAUAAUACUUGAUUUCCAAAUUGUCCCCUUGCAGGUGAGAUCACAGGGCAGGCCUGCCGAGAAUGUGCUUCCUGGGAAGUUCAGCUUCUCAGCCACCGUGACCUUCUGUCUCAGAAGGGCUGAUCUAGGGAGCAGGAAUUAGUCUGUUCAAUGUGCCCCCAGAAGUCCAAAACUAGAACAAGUGUCUGAAAAACAUCAACUACAAGAAAGUCGCUGCUGACCCGAAAGAAUCAAAUACGUUCUGUUGAUUAAAGUGAACAGAAAAACUAACAGCUCGGCUGCCUUGGAAGGAGUGAGCUCCUGAUCUUGGGAUGUGCCCAAGGGGCAGGCAUGAAAAUCUCCUGCAGCUCUGAGGCUCUAAGGCCUGUUUCGUGCAUCUGGAAGGACCUUGAUUAUUGAUAGCCUGUCUAGGUUGGCCCCACGUGCCUCCUCAAAGGAUUCUGUGAUGCCGGAGUAUGAACGAGUGAGACCUCACACCUGCUCUUUCCUUUUAAUCCUGACAUCUGUUUCCCACAGGAAAUGUCCAGAGCAAGUCAGAGUGGCCUUUUUCUCUUGGUUUUAUUUUCUUCCCUGCUAAGUUGGUCCUCAUCCCCUGGAUUAGGGCACAUUCCCAGUGCAUGAGGUCCUAGAAGAGGUGACUUCCCAGGUCACCCAGCCACUGUCCCUCACAGCUCGGUGCAGUCGCUGAAAUCAAUUCCUGCUCUGUCCCGUACUCACCUCUUUCCAAGCCUGAGCUUAUUCAUUUGAAAAAUGGCUGAAUCUCAUUGGCCUUGCAGCAUUGAUGUUUGUGUUCAUUGAACAAGCAUUCUCUGAGUAUCCAGUAUGUGCCAGGCACUGCGGUGAAUAAAAGAGACAGAGGCUCC